rnacentral:rRNA from 1 species
GACGAACGCUGGCGGCGUGCUUAACACAUGCAAGUCGAACGAAGAGCGAUGGAAGCUUGCUUCUAUCAAUCUUAGUGGCGAACGGGUGAGUAACGCGUAAUCAACCUGCCCUUCAGAGGGGGACAACAGUUGGAAACGACUGCUAAUACCGCAUACGAUCUGACCUCGGCAUCGAGGAUGGAUGAAAGGUGGCCUCUAUUUAUAAGCUAUCACUGAAGGAGGGGAUUGCGUCUGAUUAGCUAGUUGGAGGGGUAACGGCCCACCAAGGCGAUGAUCAGUAGCCGGUCUGAGAGGAUGAACGGCCACAUUGGGACUGAGACACGGCCCAGACUCCUACGGGAGGCAGCAGUGGGGAAUCUUCCGCAAUGGACGAAAGUCUGACGGAGCAACGCCGCGUGAGUGAUGACGGCCUUCGGGUUGUAAAGCUCUGUUAAUCGGGACGAAAGGCCUUCUUGCGAAUAGUUAGAAGGAUUGACGGUACCGGAAUA